rnacentral:rRNA from 1 species
CCUACGGGCGGCUGCAGUGGGGAAUAUUGGACAAUGGGCGAAAGCCUGAUCCAGCCAUGCCGCGUGUGUGAAGAAGGCCUUCGGGUUGUAAAGCACUUUCAGUGGGGAAGAAAGCCUUGGGGCUAAUACCCUCGAGGAAGGACAUCACCCACAGAAGAAGCACCGGCUAACUCCGUGCCAGCAGCCGCGGUAAUACGGAGGGUGCGAGCGUUAAUCGGAAUUACUGGGCGUAAAGCGCGCGUAGGCGGUCUGAUAAGCCGGUUGUGAAAGCCCCGGGCUCAACCUGGGAACGGCAUCCGGAACUGUCAGGCUAGAGUGCAUGAGAGGAAGGUAGAAUUCCCGGUGUAGCGGUGAAAUGCGUAGAGAUCGGGAGGAAUACCAGUGGCGAAGGCGGCCUUCUGGACUGACACUGACGCUGAGGGGCGAAAGCGUGGGUAGCAAACAGGAUUAGAUACCCCAGUAGUC